GAGUUUGAUCCUGGCUCAGGAUGAACGCUAGCGGCAGGCUUAAUACAUGCAAGUCGUGGGGCAGCAGGACUGUAGCAAUACAGUUGCUGGCGACCGGCAAACGGGUGCGGAACACGUACACAACCUUCCUUUAAGUGGGGAAUAGCCCGGGGAAACCCGGAUUAAUACCCCGUAAUAUAAUGAGGUGGCAUCACUUUAUUAUUAUAGCUCCGGCGCUUAAAGAUGGGUGUGCGGCUGAUUAGGCAGUUGGCGGGGUAACGGCCCACCAAACCUACGAUCAGUAACUGGUGUGAGAGCACGACCAGACACACGGGCACUGAGACACGGGCCCGACUCCUACGGGAGGCAGCAGUAAGGAAUAUUGGUCAAUGGACGCAAGUCUGAACCAGCCAUGCCGCGUGGAGGAUGAAGGUCCUCUGGAUUGUAAACUUCUUUUAUCUGGGAAGAAACCCACCUUUUCUUGGGUGGUUGACGGUACCAGAUGAAUAAGCACCGGCUAACUCCGUGCCAGCAGCCGCGGUAAUACGGAGGGUGCAAGCGUUAUCCGGAUUCACUGGGUUUAAAGGGUGCGUAGGUGGAUUAGUAAGUCAGUGGUGAAAUCUCCAGGCUUAACUUGGAAACUGCCAUUGAUACUAUUAAUCUUGAAUACCGUGGAGGUCAGCGGAAUAUGUCAUGUAGCGGUGAAAUGCUUAGAUAUGACAUAGAACACCAAUUGCGAAGGCAGCUGGCUACACGAAUAUUG
rnacentral:rRNA from 1 species